rnacentral:rRNA from 1 species
CCUACGGGAGGCAGCAGUGAGGAAUAUUGGUCAAUGGGCGCGAGCCUGAACCAGCCAAGUAGCGUGAAGGAUGAAUGCCCUACGGGUUGUAACCUUCUUUUAUAAAGGAAUAACGUGAGGCGCGUGUGCCUUUUUGUAUGUCCUUUAUGAAUAAGGAUCGGCUAACUCCGUGCCAGCAGCCGCGGUAAUACGGCGGAUCCGAGCGUUAUCCGGAUUUAUUGGGGUUAAAGGGAGCGUAGAUGGGUUGUUAAGUCAGUUGUGAAAGUUUGCGGCUCAACCGUAUAAUUGCAAUUGAUACUGGCAGUCUUGAGUACAGGUGAGGUAGGCGGAAUUCGUGGUGUAGCGGUGAAAUGCGUAGAUAUCACGAAGAACUCCGAUUGCGAAGGCAGCUUACUAAACUGCCACUGACAUUGAUGCUCGAAAGUGUGGGGAGCAAACAGGAUUAGAUACCCCAGUAGUC